UCCGGUGAUCAUAGUGUUCGUAAAACACCCGAUCCCAUCCCGAACUCGGAAGUUAAGUGCGAUCAUGCCAAUGGUACUGCAUCUCAAGAUGUGGGAGAGUAGGUCGUCGCCGGAC
rnacentral:rRNA from 1 species